GAUGAACGCUGGCGGCGUGCUUAACACAUGCAAGUCGAGCGAGAAGUUUUGAAUAGAUUCUUCGGAUGAAAUUUAAAAUGGAAAGCGGCGGACGGGUGAGUAACGCGUAGGCAACCUGCCCCAUACAAAGGGAUAGCAUUUGGAAACGAAUAUUAAUACCUUAUGAAACUUAACUAGUGCAUGCUAGGUAGGUCAAAGAUUUAUCGGUAUGGGAUGGGCCUGCGUCUGAUUAGCUAGUUGGUGAGGUAACGGCUCACCAAGGCGACGAUCAGUAGCCGACCUGAGAGGGUGAACGGCCACAUUGGAACUGAGACACGGUCCAAACUCCUACGGGAGGCAGCAGUGGGGAAUAUUGCACAAUGGGGGAAACCCUGAUGCAGCAACGCCGCGUGAACGAUGAAGGCCUUUGGGUCGGAAAGUUCUGUUCUAGGUGAUGAAAACUGACAGUAACCUAGGAGAAAGCCCCGGCUAACUCCGUG
rnacentral:rRNA from 1 species